rnacentral:tRNA from 1 species
GGCGGUUUGGCCGAGUGGUUAAGGCGAUUGACUCGAACGAACGGCAUGAGAAUUUCUGUUCCCCAAGGGAACGAGAUCAAGUGUGUUCCGAUAAUCAAUUCCGUUCGCGGGCAUUCGUCA